AUUGAACGCUGGCGGUAUGCCUUACACAUGCAAGUCGAACGGUAGAGGAGCAAUCCUUGAGAGUGGCGAACGGGUGAGUAAUACAUCGGAACGUGCCCAGUCGUGGGGGAUAACGUAGCGAAAGCUACGCUAAUACCGCAUACGACCCGAGGGUGAAAAGCGGGGGACUCGCAGGAGCCUCGCGCGAUUGGAGCGGCCGAUAUCAGAUUAGGUAGUUGGUGGGGUAAAGGCUCACCAAGCCAACGAUCUGUAGCUGGUCUGAGAGGACGACCAGCCACACUGGAACUGAGACACGGUCCAGACUCCUACGGGAGGCAGCAGUGGGGAAUUUUGGACAAUGGGCGCAAGCCUGAUCCAGCAAUGCCG
rnacentral:rRNA from 1 species